UUGCGCAUUCUAUAUAGUGCUGUGUUCCUCCAUCUGCUGCAAUCUUUUUGAUAUGCACCAUUGUCACCUAUUAUUGUAUAAUAGGCGCUUGCCUCUACAUCUGAAACAAGCACAUACCUACCAUUAUUAUCUUUUUCGUCAUUACUUGUUUCUUUAUGAAAGUCAACGGUGCGUGUUAACACCAUACGACUAAUUGAGUUUGUUAAAAAGUUUAGAGCUCAUACGCAUUAGUCUUAUUUUCAUUUAUUUGUCAGGAAUGUACCAUUUCUUUUCA